UGCUGAAAGCAUCUAAGCACGAAACUUGCCCCGAGAUGAGUUCUACCCUGAGACUUUAAGUCUCCUGAAGGAACGUUAAAGACGAUGACGUUGAUAGGCGGGUGUGUAAGCGCAGCGAUGCGUUGAGCUAACCGGUACUAAUGAACCGUGAGGCUUAACCUUACAACGCCGAAG
rnacentral:rRNA from 1 species